GGUGGGUUGGCGUAAUGGCAACGCGUUAGUUUCCGGUUCUUCUCUUAACCAGCUAAAGAUUCUGGGUUCGAGUCCCAGGCCCGUCG
rfam:Hebeloma cylindrosporum h7 unplaced genomic scaffold scaffold_15, whole genome shotgun sequence.